CACCCGGGCGGGGUGGGGGCCGCACCGGCGCCCCUUUCCCUGGUCGUCCGAGCUGCCCCGGGGAUCGAAUCCGGCCGCGGGCUGCCAGACUCGACAGUCUCAAGUACCUUCCUCCCAGUCACGCAGCCCUUCCCGCCCCCGAGCUCCAGUAAUUUUCCCUUUUCCUCCUCUGACCGGUCGGAGCCGCAGCCAGCGCUUCCUCCCGCGAAGGCCGGCGCCGAGAGCCCCCUGCCGGCCGCUCUGCUCCGAGGCCGCGUCGCCGGCCCGGCGAAGCGCUCCUGCGGCCGGCCUCAACCUCCCCACCUGGAACCUGGGGCCGGCCAGGCCCGUCUCGUUGGCAAACCAACGAGAAAAUAAAUGGCCUGUCUCCCUGCUGCUGAUCCUUGCCUCUGACUCCCAGGAUGUAAGCUCCACAGGGCUUCCUGCCAUCAGUCAGAAAGAGCUCGGACAGAAGACACGGGGAUCCUGGUGACCAGAGGGAGAGAAGGACUGCAAAUAAAAUAUUUUGUGUGUGAAUAUGGAAUUCAUGGGGCUGAUCUUCUCAGCAGAUUUUGCUCAGGUGGCAAUGUACAUGGCUUUUGUUUCUCUCGGCCCAGAUGGCUUGGACAGAAGGAGAGCCCCAGAGCUCAGGGGGAAGACAGGUUUUGGCAUGAAAUCUUUACAGCAAAAAAGCCACUACUGGGAUCACAGAUUCUGUCAACAUCUGAGCCCAUUUCACCUCCUCACUCUUGUGCAAACUCUGCUAAGUUCUCUGCCUGGGGCCUCCGUUUGUCAUUGGCAAAACUGGGAUGGGAUUUUCUCUGUGAUUUCUCCCAGCUUCUCCUCUCUUGAGAAGACAGGACACAACCUUUGCCUGCAAGAAGCAGCAGGGGGGUAAAGUCCCCAGAAAGGAGUCGAUUCUUUCCAGGUGUAAUGAUAUUUCCGCAAGGCCAAGGCAGCGCUUCGAGCUGGAUGCAGUUUUCCUGCCUGAUGGGGGGUGGGGAGGAGGCAGGUGGUCACUCUGAACGUGACCCAGGGAGUGAGGCUGAGAAGGUGGU